UACGGGGGGAGCAAGCGUUGUUCGGAUUUACUGGGCGUAAAGGGCGCGUAGGCGGCCAGCACAAGUCAGUUGUGAAAUCUCCGGGCUUAACUCGGGAAAGGUCAACUGAUACUGUGCGGCUAGAGUGCAGAAGGGGCAACUGGAAUUCUCGGGUGUAGCGGUGAAAUGCGUAGAUAUCGAGAGGAACACCUGCGGCGAAGGCGGGUAGCUGGGCCGACACUGACGUGGAAGCGCGAAAGCUAGGGGAGCGAACGGG
rnacentral:rRNA from 1 species